UACCAGCACCCCGAGUGGUCGGGACGAUUAUUGGGCCUAAAGCAUCCGUAGCCGGUCCUACAAGUCUUCCGUUAAAUCCACCUGCUUAACAGGUGGGCUGCGGAAGAUACUAUAGGGCUAGGAGGCGGGAGAGGCAAGCGGUACUCAGUGGGUAGGGGUAAAAUCCUCUGAUCCAUUGAAGACCACCAGUGGCGAAGGCGGCUUGCCAGAACGCGCUCGACGGUGAGGGAUGAAAGCUGGGGAGCAAACCGG
rnacentral:rRNA from 1 species